rnacentral:rRNA from 1 species
UACGAAGGGUGCAAGCGUUACUCGGAAUUACUGGGCGUAAAGCGUGCGUAGGCGGUUUGUUAAGUCCGUUGUGAAAGCCCUGGGCUCAACCUGGGAAUUGCAGUGGAUACUGGCGAGCUAGAGUGCGGUAGAGGAUGGUGGAAUUCCCGGUGUAGCGGUGAAAUGCGUAGAGAUCGGGAGGAACACCCGUGACGAAGGCGGCCAUCUGGACCAGCACUGACGCUGAGGCACGAAAGCGUGGGGAGCAAACAGG